rnacentral:rRNA from 1 species
ACGAACGCUGGCGGCGUGCCUAAUACAUGCAAGUCGAGCGGACUGAUUAAGAGCUUGCUCUUAUGACGUUAGCGGCGGACGGGUGAGUAACACGUGGGCAACCUGCCCUGUAGAUCGGGAUAACACCGAGAAAUCGGUGCUAAUACCGGGUAAUAUCUGAGAUCACAUGAUCUUAGGUUAAAAGAUGGCUCCGGCUAUCACUACAGGAUGGGCCCGCGGCGCAUUAGCUAGUUGGUAAGGUAAUGGCUUACCAAGGCGACGAUGCGUAGCCGACCUGAGAGGGUGAUCCGCCACACUAGGACUGAGACACGGCCCAGACUCCUACGGGAGGCAGCAGUAGGGAAUCUUCCGCAAUGGACGAAAGUCUGACGGAGCAACGCCGCGUGAGUGAUGAAGGGUUUCGGCUCGUAAAGCUCUGUUGUUAGGGAAGAAACAGUACCGAACGAACUAGGUCGGUACCUUGACGGUACCUAACCAGAAAGCCACGGCUAACUACGUG